rnacentral:rRNA from 1 species
GUGCAGCAGGCGAGAAUCCUCCGCAAUACACGAAAGUGUGACGGGGUUACCCAAAGUGUCCAAAUUUGGACUGUGGUAGGUGAGUAAUGUCCCCUACUAGAAAGGAGAGGGCAAGGCUGGUGCCAGCCGCCGCGGUAAAACCAGCUCUUCAAGUGGUCGGGAUAAUUAUUGGGCUUAAAGUGUCCGUAGCCGGUUUAGUAAGUUCCUGGUAAAAUCGGGUAGCUUAACUAUCUGUAUGCUAGGAAUACUGCUAUACUAGAGGGCGGGAGAGGUCUGAGGUACUACAGGGGUAGGGGUGAAAUCCUGUAAUCCUUGUAGGACCACCAGUGGCGAAGGCGUCAGACUGGGACGCGCCUGACGGUGAGGGACGAAAGCCAGGGGAGCGAACCGGAUUAGAUACCCCCGUAGU